GACGAACGCUGGCGGCGUGCUUAACACAUGCAAGUCGAACGGAAAGGCCCUUCGGGGUACUCGAGUGGCGAACGGGUGAGUAACACGUGGGUGAUCUGCCCUGCACUUUGGAUAAGCCUGGGAAACUGGGUCUAAUACCGAAUAUGACCGCGCUCUUCAUGGGGUGUGGUGGAAAGCUUUUGCGGUGUGGGAUGGGCCCGCGGCCUAUCAGCUUGUUGGUGGGGUAAUGGUCUACCAAGGCGACGACGGGUAGCCGGCCUGAGAGGGUGACCGGCCACACUGGGACUGAGAUACGGCCCAGACUCCCACGGGAGGCAGCAGUGGGGAAUAUUGCACAAUGGGCGCAAGCCUGAUGCAGCGACGCCGCGUGAGGGAUGACGGCCUUCGGGUUGUAAACCUCUUUCAAUAGGGACGAAGCGCAAGUGACGGUACCUAUAGAAGAAGGACCGGCCAACUACGUGCCAGCCGCCGCAGUAA
rnacentral:rRNA from 1 species